UACGAACCGUGCAAACGUUAUUCGGAAUCACUGGGCUUAAAGGGCGCGUAGGCGGGCCGCCAGGCCCGGGGUGAAAGCCUCCAGCUCAACUGGAGAAGUGCCUUGGAUACCGGCGGCCUCGAGGGAGGUAGGGGCGUGCGGAACUUCGGGUGGAGCGGUGAAAUGCGUAGAUAUCCGAAGGAACACCGGUGGCGAAAGCGGCGCGCUGGAUCUCUUCUGACGCUGAGGCGCGAAAGCCAGGGGAGCAAACGGG
rnacentral:rRNA from 1 species